ensembl:lncRNA
GGAUGAUAAUUAAAAGAAUGGCUGGCGGCAGGCUGAGGCAUGGGCUGGGUGAAAGAGGACUCUGCUAGUGGUCUUAAAGGUGACCCUUUAAGAAAGCUGAGGGCAUUCUAUUCGAGAUGCCCUCUUUUGUAGAACGAGCCACAAUAGCUCGAGAUCACCAAGACUGGAGGUCAGCAAAGGUCAGUGAAGUUGGGCUGGAGCUCCUUUGAAUGCUCUGUCAGACACACCGAGGACAGAGUAACACCAGGCUGCUUUAUUACUGCUGGACACUUCUAUCAUUUGGGAUUGGGAAAGGACUGCUCAGCCAGAACAGAGUAUAGUAUGCGAUCGCUGCUGAAGAUAAGACACUUUGGCUGUCGACUUACACAGACACCAAAACUCGUUCUUUCUUUUUUCUUGCUCUGCUUCUCUCUCUAUCUGUCUAUAUCUGCCUCUGUACAAAGCUAUAUUGUGUUCCAUUACUGCCUCUAAUCACUGCUCCCAGUGACACACAGUUUUACAGUGACUGCUAGGGACGUCUGAUUCUUCUCAUUCUGUCACUCCUUUUCUCCAUGCUGUUGGCUCCUGUGCUAUGAAUAGUAGCUUUAAUUUGGCCAUCGUCAGUCCAGUACCAAAUCCACUGUCUCCCUCUCAGGUGAAACAGUAAGGAUAAGGCAUAACACACUAAAGCACCCGGCAUAUCUGACAUGCCUAUGUGACACUAUGGUCAUCGCCGAUGUCUGAUGAGCAAAAUCACUUCUUUUUCUAAUAUUUGCACCAGAGAUUUGCACCAAACUUCAGUGUAGAAAGAUAUAAAAAAAUUUUUAUUUUCGGGUGCUUCUAAAGCAUACAAGAUGUGGUAGUUCUUUAUGUUCCUCUCUGGAUAUAGUCAGCCAUUUUUUUCUACUUUAGAAUACUAACUCCAACCACUUCAGAUAACUGUUAUGUCCAAUUUCUAGCCUAGGAAAUCAAUCCAGAUGGCAGGUUUUUUUUAGAGCUAUAUGUCAGCAUAGACGGUGAAAGGCUUUUAUGUGGUGAAAGCAGUUAAAUAUGGUAUAGAAGUUUAUUAUUGCACGAGCCCAGUUGCCGGCAGUGUGACAAUACAGCCACAUCAACUCUGUUUGUCCAAAGAAAGAGCUCCCAGAAGAAUCUCUGAGACACACGCUCAACAAUCCUACUGAAACUUGAAGGAGCAAUGUGAUCAUCGAGGGAACAAGUGAGAGAUAGAGAAAGAGAUGUAAAAGACUGGCUUGUGUGUGACCUUAGCUGCAGAGGAAGAAGCGUGAUGAGUGUAUACGAAUUUCACACAGAAGAUCCAUUACUCACAGCUCUCUUCUGCAAUAGGUUUAUACUGUCAUCCUAGCUCUACAUUUUACACACAUACACACCUACACAUAUACACUUGCAUAUACUAUAUACUGAGAGUUUGUAAUGGCACAAUGUGCACUGCGCUCCUAUUGCAAUAUACAGAAAACCAGUUCCCCUCAUUUAUUGCUGGUCCC